GCGCUCUUAGUUCAGUUCGGUAGAACGCGGGUCUCCAAAACCCGAUGUCGUAGGUUCAAAUCCUACAGAGCGUAAAUCCUACAGAGCGUG
rnacentral:tRNA from 1 species